rnacentral:lncRNA from 13 species
GUAAAAGGAUGUGCUAUGAGUAAUGAAGUCCUUGGUCUCUGAACCAGGAGCCUUGUGUAUUCUGCCAGAUUAAAGACUGAAAUGCAGACUGAGUUGCAGGAAAGAAAGCUCAGGGCUCCCACUGAUUCUACAUUAUGUGACAAAAACAGAAACACAGAGAAGAAGGCCACAAGAAGAUGGAAGCAGAGGUUGGAGUUAUGCAGCCGUAAGCCAAGAAAUGCCAGGGAGAAAGAUGCCCUACCCAGAAGAGAGGCAUGGAACGGAUUCUCCCCUGGUGUCUUCAGAAGGAACCAACCCUGCCCACUACUUAACUUUGGACUUCUGGCUUUCAGAACUAUUCUGAGACUGGAAGGAAAUGUGGAGCUUUGGAAACGUGUGACUCACGGGCUGCUAGGGCUGAUUGGUCUAAGCUUUGGAGGCACCGAGGGAGCUUCACUGGAUCCAAAGCCCACCUCUCAAGACCCAGGCACCUGGACAGCAUCCUCCACUGGGGCUGAGCAGCUGCAGCAGCAGGACAUGGGACUGGGAGCUGUUCUGAUCCACGCUGUGCAACUUACAUGACAAGGAUAGAGGGAGAUUCAUUUUGUAAAGCCUUAAUUUAUCUAUAAAUAUAAGGCAUUGAAUUAAUAGAAGAGUGAGUUUAAAAUUUUAUAUGGCGAUGAGCUAUUUUAUAUCUGGAGUACAUUGAAUUUAUCUGCUGAGUUUAGUUAAAUGAGACAACUCAGUAUAAUUGAAAGUGAAAAAUAAAUGAAGUGGCUUCUUGAUUCA